GACAUUGGGGAGCGGGUGCCGAACGGACAAAGUCCAUGCACAUAAGACCUUUCUCUUUGUAGAAGGGGUCGUUACUCUUAAGUUCGAGAGCGAAGCAUUCCGGAUGGCGUUCUUCGGCGCCGCAACACGGAAUGGCACUACGGCAGACCUUUAUAAGCGGCAAUGUUGCUGAAAUCGUGAUCGAGGAAAUGAGCAAAAUGGACAAAGAGCAUCGACAGUCUAGGCUCAUCAUAUUGAUUGGUUGCGUUUUGCAUGCAAAUGCUGACUUGACGUCCGGGCGGAUGAAUUCCGGUCGGGAAAGACGGUUUGGGCUUAGAGAAUCCGUCUUCGUACUCGGCUGGCAACAUGCGCCGAAAGGGCUGCAGGGCAGAUCCCCAUUGUGGGUGCUGUAAAUUAUUACAGAUACCAUCCAUCCAGCGGUAUUUAUCUUUUGCGGAGCAUUUAAAUCCGCCGAACGGCGAAUGCCCUUCGCCACACUGUGGCCAUUGUUCCUGCAAGAAACGCCAGCCGGAUUUUUGAAGAGUUUCCAGUUCGAUCUGAUGGUCUUUGAGGCAACGCAGAGUGGCUUCGGCCAUGACACCCGAUUGGAUCCAGUCCACUGAUUCCUCGUUCAGGGCCGUCGACAUUUGGUGGUAGAAAGCCGGACCUUUAGGCUCCACUAGAGUCUUUUCCAUCGCCUUUCGGCGGUUCACUUCAUUCCGACCUUCUGUGUUGCAUUCCUUCAGCAAGUCCAUGUCUACAGUUGGAGUGGGUGUCUCCCAAGAAGCCAUAUCUUUUCCUUUGAAUUCUCUUGAACGACCUGAGCAACAACACAUUUGUUUAACGAGGGAAGGAGACUUGCAAAAGCGAAUGCUCCACGUUUAGGUCAAGCGGCGUGACAUCCGUGGGUAGAGGGCCGUCAUCAGCUGAAUCAUUGUCGACAACAAAUAGAAAGACAGUGGCAACUAUCAAGCUGGUGGCUACCCUAUAAUAGAACAAGAAAAAAAAGGGAAUCAAACAUUGGUUCUUUUUCAUGCGAUUGUAGUGGUUGUAGGUGGGUGUCGUUUCUUCUGUAUAACCGCACAACGGAUCCAGCUCAGACAUGGUGGCUGGCUCUUGAUGUUUAGCGAAAACGAUUAAAAUGAUUGAACCGGCGAAUUUUCAGUAACAGCUAUUUCGAUAGAACGAAUGCGCAUCAAUUCUGUUGGCCAACUGGCCUGUCUGACGGCCAAAUGAAACCUUUUCAUGGGUGAAACGAAGCAGAACCGGAUACCAACAAGGAAUUAUAAGUCUACCUUCCUGUCUUUUUGUUUCAUCCGUCUACCUUUCCUAAUGGGAUGAAGCCCGUCGCGUGUAAAUAGACACAGUGAGCUAUGGCAAAAGACAGGGAGUAGAAGCGUAAACGUAACCUAUCCUGAUUCUUUACACUCACUCUUCUUAUGUUUCCGUGCCUUUUGGCAUACUCAACGAGGAAAUGAAGUGUCACAAAUUCUAGAAUAUUGAAAUUUUAUUAUGUAAUGUUUUUAUCCGAAAUUUACAAAAAGGAAAACAAAA